UGUGAUCCUGAAUGGAAAAGGCUGAUGGAGCAGUGUUGGGCCCCUAAUCCUGCAGCCAGGCCUUCCUUCACAGAAAUUGCUGGACGUCUGCGCAUAAUGUCUACAGCUGCUAACCAAACCAAAGGACAUGGUCACAAGACACCAAAGUAAUGAUUUGAAGCUCUCUUCAGGAGUAGUUCUAGGCUAUCCGCUGUGAUAUCAAGUCAUUUCAAGAAUCAAUCUACUUGUAUCAUAUUAGCAGGAGGGAGAGAUUGACUUCCAUUAAUGUUUUUAAAAUGGAAGUUCUCUUUGAUAUAUAUAAUACAUGUAUAUUAAUAGCGUUUUUCUUCUAGAAUUAUCGAGUUGUUGUUGGAUUUGACAGUUUGAAACGGUGUUGUUCGCCUGCCCUUUUGGUUUAUCAUGUUUGACUUUGUAUGUGCUGGCAAGUGAGCUUUCAUAUUAUUACUAUCUUGAGAAUGUGCUAUGCUAAUGCUAAACAUCGUCUACAUUUUAAACCUCUCAUAUGAAG
rnacentral:misc_RNA from 1 species